rnacentral:rRNA from 1 species
AGAGUUUGAUCAUGGCUCAGAGCGAACGCUGGCGGCAGGCUUAACACAUGCAAGUCGAGCGGGCAUAGCAAUAUGUCAGCGGCAGACGGGUGAGUAACGCGUGGGAACAUACCUUUUGGUUCGGAACAACACAGGGAAACUUAUGCUAAUACCGGAUAAGCCCUUACGGGGAAAGAUUUAUCGCCGAAAGAUUGGCCCGCGUCUGAUUAGCUAGUUGGUGAGGUAACGGCUCACCAAGGCGACGAUCAGUAGCUGGUCUGAGAGGAUGAUCAGCCACAUUGGGACUGAGACACGGCCCAAACUCCUACGGGAGGCAGCAGUGGGGAAUAUUGGACAAUGGGCGCAAGCCUGAUCCAGCCAUGCCGCGUGAGUGAUGAAGGCCCUAGGGUUGUAAAGCUCUUCUGUGCGGGAAGAUAAUGACGGUACCGCAAGAAUAAGCCCCGGCUAACUUCGUGCCAGCAGCCGCGGUAAUACGAAGGGGGCUAGCGUUGCUCGGAAUCACUGGGCGUAAAGGGUGCGUAGGCGGGUCUUUAAGUCAGGGGUGAAAUCCUGGAGCUCAACUCCAGAACUGCCUUUGAUACUGAGGAUCUUGAGUUCGGGAGAGGUGAGUGGAACUGCGAGUGUAGAGGUGAAAUUCGUAGAUAUUCGCAAGAACACCAGUGGCGAAGGCGGCUCACUGGCCCGAUACUGACGCUGAGGCACGAAAGCGUGGGAGCAAACAGGAUUAGAUACCCUGGUAGUCCACGCCGUAAACGAUGAAUGCCAGCCGUUAGUGGGUUUACUCACUAGUGGCGCAGCUAACGCUUUAAGCAUUCCGCCUGGGGAGUACGGUCGCAAGAUUAAAACUCAAAGGAAUUGACGGGGGCCCGCACAAGCGGUGGAGCAUGUGGUUUAAUUCGACGCAACGCGCAGAACCUUACCAGCCCUUGACAUCCCGGUCGCGGACUCCAGAGACGGAGUCCUUCAGUUCGGCUGGACCGGAGACAGGUGCUGCAUGGCUGUCGUCAGCUCGUGUCGUGAGAUGUUGGGUUAAGUCCCGCGACGAGCGCAACCCCCGUCCUUAGUUGCUACCAUUUAGUUGAGCACUCUAAGGAGACUGCCGGUGAUAAGCCGCGAGGAAGGUGGGGAUGACGUCAAGUCCUCAUGGCCCUUACGGGCUGGGCUACACACGUGCUACAAUGGCGGUGACAAUGGGACGCUAAGGGGCAACCCUUCGCAAAUCUCAAAAAGCCGUCUCAGUUCGGAUUGGGCUCUGCAACUCGAGCCCAUGAAGUUGGAAUCGCUAGUAAUCGUGGAUCAGCAUGCCACGGUGAAUACGUUCCCGGGCCUUGUACACACCGCCCGUCACACCAUGGGAGUUGGUUUUACCUGAAGACGGUGCGCUAACCCGCAAGGGAGGCAGCCGGCCACGGUAGGGUCAGCGACUGGGGUGAAGUCGUAACAAGGUA